AAAACAUAGUUAAUUUUUUUCAUUUUCAGCACAGAUUUUCUCUCUUUUCUGACCAGACAAAAAGUAAACAUGAACCCAUUUAUCGGUUUUAUUAUAAGCAAAGGAAUUCUUAAUAUCCUUCACGUUUUUUGAAUAAUAUAUGAUAAACAUAUGUUUGGGAUCAGUGGAAUAAGUGUACAAAUUCAUGAUCCUGCUGCUGGUUGCUUUAUAACCUUUUCCCAUAAAGUAUGCAACUCUUGAAAUUUUUUCACUAAGGUCCUCACUGAGUCACAGUUUUGUUUUGACUCUGUUUUAAUAAAAUUUAGUGUUUACCUUUUGCAUUCACUCAGAUCCUUUCUGAGACAUAUCAAAGGGACUAGGUAUCACAUAUUAUUUUCUCAAUGCAUCCACUUAAGGGAGUCAAUUUUGCAGCAAAACUUGACUGGUCAAAUACAUUCUUCUUCUGUUUGUUCCUUGUUCUCUUUGUGGAACUAUAAAUUGAUAUUAGUUGUAGGACAUUACUCUUCUUUAAUAUUUUGACCAGGCUCUAUAUAACAAGUACUUAGAAGAGCGUCAUUUAUAUUGCGCACACCACUAAAGCAUACAUGUGGACUGAGCAUCUGAUGAAAAGAUGACAGCUCAAGAUGAGAAAUAUAAGACAUGUUGUGCAUGAAUGGAGGCAGAUACAAGACCUUGCAAGUUACUGUGUAUCUGUUCGGA
rnacentral:lncRNA from 1 species